GGGAUGUUAGUAAAUUUAUUACAUAGUCUUGUCAAGGCUAAAUAACAGGCGAAAAUCCAGUACAUUCCA
rnacentral:tRNA from 1 species